AGUGGGGGGCCCUGCAGGCCCCCCCGCCGCCGAGGACGCAGGGCUGUGGGCUAUGAGUCCUGCCUCACCCUGCAGCCUGCACCGCCUCUGCUUCUCCAAGCGGGAGCCGCCGAGUGAUUGAUGGGCCCCAGCUUGAAUGGAAAGUCCAGAUUCCAGCAACACAGCUUAAGAGGUGAUGGUGAUUUUCGACUCAUUCCCGUUACAAACAGCCGACCUUCCUACCGAGUUCAAGUACCUUCUGCCUGGCCUGGAAGAACCGUAUCUCUCUGUCACCCUCUUCCUCUGGCCCUCACCUGCCCUCCCCUGAACAUGCAUUUUGCCUGAGAGGAGACAGAGGCGGUUGAGAUGGAGUCUUGCUAUAUGGCCCAGCUGGUAAUGCCUGGAUUCUUGAGUCCCUCCCUGGCUCAUCCCUGGGAGAAGCACCGAACCCCAUGUCUGACACCUGUCCGGAAAUGGAGCCUGCACAUUGACCCUAGGUGCUUGCAGCUUGGUCCAGGACGCCAGCGGGACCAGACAGAAGACCACAGCGACACGUGGGGAUGGCUGUUCCACAGGCAGAAAUGGGCAGCCAGGAGGAAGUCCGGGCAGCCAGCCACCCAGCUCCUUCCACAUCGUGGCCCUAGAACGGAGUCUUGA
rnacentral:lncRNA from 10 species